rnacentral:tRNA from 1 species
GCGCCCGUAGCUCAGCAGGAUAGAGCAUCAGAUUCCUAAUCUGGGGGCCCCGCGUUCGAAUCGCGGCGGGCGCACCA